rnacentral:rRNA from 1 species
UAGGGAAUAUUGGACAAUGGGGGCAACCCUGAUCCAGCCAUGCCGCGUGAGUGAAGAAGGCCCUCGGGUUGUAAGGCUCUUUUGUCCGGAAAGAAAAGCUUCGGGUUAAUACCCCGGGGUUCUGACGGUACCGGAAGAAUAAGCACCGGCUAACUUCGUGCCAGCAGCCGCGGUAAUACGAAGGGUGCAAGCGUUACUCGGAAUUACUGGGCGUAAAGCGUGCGUAGGUGGUUGUUUAAGUCUGAUGUGAAAGCCCUGGGCUCAACCUGGGAAUGGCAUUGGAAACUGGGCAGCUAGAGUGCGGUAGAGNGUAGUGGAAUUCCCGGUGUAGCAGUGAAAUGCGUAGAGAUCGGGAGGAACAUCUGUGGCGAAGGCGACUGCCUGGACCAGCACUGACACUGAGGCACGAAAGCGUGGGGAGCAAACA